rnacentral:rRNA from 1 species
ACGAACGCUGGCGGCAGGCCUAACACAUGCAAGUCGAACGCUCGUAGCAAUACGAGAGUGGCAGACGGGUGAGUAACACGUGGGAACCUUCCCUAUGGUUCGGAAUAGCUCAGGGAAACUUGGGGUAAUACCGGAUAAGCCCUUCGGGGGAAAGAUUUAUCGCCAUUGGAUGGGCCCGCGUCGGAUUAGCUAGUUGGUGAGGUAACGGCUCACCAAGGCAACGAUCCGUAGCUGGUCUGAGAGGAUGAUCAGCCACACUGGGACUGAGACACGGCCCAGACUCCUACGGGAGGCAGCAGUGGGGAAUAUUGGACAAUGGGCGCAAGCCUGAUCCAGCCAUGCCGCGUGGAUGAUGAAGGCCUUAGGGUUGUAAAGUCCUUUUAACGGGGAAGAUAAUGACGGUACCCGUAGAAUAAGCCCCGGCUAACUUCGU